UGAGGAAUAUUGGUCAAUGGGCGCGAGCCUGAACCAGCCAAGUCGCGUGAGGGAUGACGGCCCUACGGGUUGUAAACCUCUUUUGUCGGGGAGCAAAUUCCGCCACGUGUGGCGGAGUCGAGAGUACCCGAAGAAAAAGCAUCGGCUAACUCCGUGCCAGCAGCCGCGGUAAUACGGAGGAUGCGAGCGUUAUCCGGAUUUAUUGGGUUUAAAGGGUGCGUAGGCGGACUGUCAAGUCAGCGGUAAAAUACGGGGGCUCAACCUCCGCCCGCCGUUGAAACUGACGGUCUUGAGUGGGCGAGAAGUAUGCGGAAUGCGUGGUGUAGCGGUGAAAUGCAUAGAUAUCACGCAGAACUCCGAUUGCGAAGGCAGCAUACCGGCGCCCAACUGACGCUGAAGCACGAAAGCGUGGGUAUCGAACAGGAUUAGAUACC
rnacentral:rRNA from 1 species